GACGAACGCUGGCGGCGUGCCUAAUACAUGCAAGUAGAACGCUGAAGAGAGGAGCUUGCUCUUCUUGGAUGAGUUGCGAACGGGUGAGUAACGCGUAGGUAACCUGCCUGGUAGCGGGGGAUAACUAUUGGAAACGAUAGCUAAUACCGCAUAAAAUGGAUUAUCGCAUGAUAAUCCAUUGAAAGGUGCAAAUGCAUCACUACCAGAUGGACCUGCGUUGUAUUAGCUAGUUGGUGGGGUAACGGCUCACCAAGGCGACGAUACAUAGCCGACCUGAGAGGGUGAUCGGCCACACUGGGACUGAGACACGGCCCAGACUCCUACGGGAGGCAGCAGUAGGGAAUCUUCGGCAAUGGGCGGAAGUCUGACCGAGCAACGCCGCGUGAGUGAAGAAGGUUUUCGGAUCGUAAAGCUCUGUUGUAAGAGAAGAACGAGUGUGAGAGUGGAAAGUUCACACUGUGACGGUAUCUUACCAGAAAGGGACGGCUAACUACGUG
rnacentral:rRNA from 1 species